GCCGUUAACUAUUUAUUUAUUUAUGUUGCUGAGUACAGUAUUCAUGACCAUACAUACGGAAACGGAAGAGUCUAGUAUGCUGCUUAUCAAUUUGGCUCAAUAUUCACUGUAGGCCACCCAGAAAAUGAAAACUGUAUUAUUACUUUUGGCUGAAUAAUUUGUUAUCUAGUUAGUGUUUAAUUAGCAGGACAUAUGUUGGAUCCAUUUACUUUAUUUAGUUAGACUAAUUUAAAUGCACGAGGAAUGCCUCCAUCUGGUGUUGACGAAUUGUAGUGACAAAGAGCCUUAUCAUGUCAGUAGGCCUAAUUGAACAGUGAAAGCUGAGAGAGCACACCGUCUUUUACUUCUCCCGCCACUUUUCGAUAUCACAACCAACGUUUGAGUGAUAGGCUAUUAUCGUAUGUUUGGUUUAUUUGUACUUUUCAGUUGACUCAAUAUAUUUUGACGCAUGUUAGAGCUUGAGAUAAGUGUGGACUAGCACGUGGUAAGUAGGCCUACCCUAUGCGUUUUGAAGUGUCCACAUUUACAUUACAUGUUGUCAUAAUGUUCUGAACAGCAGUUAUCAUAUAUCAACUCUUUUGUUUUGGUUUGUUUGAGGAAAACAAGUUCUGGGAGGUUCCUGUUGGUUCCAGCAACUUGCAACUUAACUCCAUCCAUUCAAACUCCCUCUGUUAUCAUGGAAACCCAUCGGGCACUAUUUUCAAUGAUGUAACUCUAGAAGAAACAAACAAACAAAAAAAUAGAAUAUACAAUGGCGGUCACAUGAGAUCAAUGACAUCAAAAAACCGAGUCAGAUCGGAAAUACUUUACAAUAAUAUGAUAUUAAAAUUGAGUUGACAAAAAAACAAAAAAGAUAAUUAAGUGUAGGCUACACUCUUAGAUAUGGAUAUCAAUAGGUUCCUAUCUCAAUUUGAAUCGAUCAUUGUGUGAUUGAUUGAGGGGAAUGGUACAAUGUGUAGCAACUGAUUCAAACACUCCAUCUGUCCCUGUCUCAGUUGCGCCACCCCCAAACGAUAUCGUCGUGCGGCAGAACGGCCGCCAGAGAGCCCGAGUGUCGUGGCAGCCAGUGGAUCGCGUUCUGCUGUAUCGAGUCACAAUCCGGAACCAAGACCAGCCAAACAGUGAACCAAUGGUGGCAAACGCAACGGCUCCCUAUCUGGACUUUGACACCCUGUUAUGUACCACCUAUGACAUCUCUGUGUCCUCGUUCCACCGAUUCCUGCUGCCCGGAGAGCCCAACGAUGUCUCAUUCACCAGCGACGCCCCCAGUGCCGCCAGCGGUGUGGUGGUGGACUACAGAUGUUCCAGCAACACGGCGGUGGUCUCCUGGGUUCCCGUGGUUGGAGCCGACUCCUACCGGGCCACGGCGACCCACAACGGCACGGUGAAGUCCUGCCUCAGCCGGGGCUCCCAGUGCCAGAUCGAGGGGAUGGCCUGCGGCCAGAGCUAUGUGGUGUCCGUCAUCACCAUCGCCGGGGACUGCGAGAGCCACGGAAACUCAACCACCAACUUUCAGACCGGUGAGAGUCCAAAAUACCGAUGUGUGCCAACCAGGGUGGCCACCUUCCUCAUGACCAAUCACGUCUCCGGU
rnacentral:lncRNA from 1 species